rnacentral:rRNA from 1 species
GAUGAACGCUAGCUACAGGCUUAACACAUGCAAGUCGAGGGGUAACGAGAGGAAAGCUUGCUUUCCUUGUCGACGACCGGCGCACGGGUGAGUAACGCGUAUCCAACCUGCCCCCAACUAGGGAAUAACCUUGCGAAAGUAAGACUAAUACCCUAUAAUUUCCUCAGAUGACAUCUGACGAGGAAUAAAGAUUUAUCGGUUGUUGAUGGUGAUGCGUCUGAUUAGCUUGUUGGCGGGGUAACGGCCCACCAAGGCAACGAUCAGUAGGGGUUCUGAGAGGAGGGUCCCCCACAUUGGAACUGAGACACGGUCCAAACUCCUACGGGAGGCAGCAGUGAGGAAUAUUGGUCAAUGGGCGGAAGCCUGAACCAGCCAAGUAGCGUGCAGGAUGACGGCCCUAUGGGUUGUAAACUGCUUUUAUACAGGAAUAAAGUUAGCCACGUGUGGUUAUUUGUAGGUACUGUAUGAAUAAGGACCGGCUAAUUCCGUGCCAGCAGCCGCCGUAA